GACGAACGCUGGCGGCGCGCUUAACACAUGCAAGUCGAACGGAAAGGCCUGCUUUCCCUUGUGGAUUGCGGGUACUCGAGUGGCGAACGGGUGAGUAACACGUGAGUGAUCUGCCCCCAACUUGGGUAUAAGCCUGGGAAACUGGGUCUAAUUCCCGAUAGGACUGCAGGGUGGUGCCUGUGGUGGAAAACGAUUUUCUAGUGGUUGGGGAUGAGCUCGCGGCCUAUCAGCUUGUUGGUGGGGUAAUGGCCUACCAAGGCGGCGACGGGUAGCCGGCCUGAGAGGGGGGACGGCCACAUUGGGACUGAGAUACGGCCCAGACUCCUACGGGAGGCAGCAGUGGGGAAUAGUGCACAAUGGGCGGAAGCCUGAUGCAGCGACGCCGCGUGGGGGAUGACGGCCUUCGGGUGGUAAACUCCUUUCGACCGCGAGGAAGCCACCUGGUUGGAAGGGUGGUGACGGUAGUGGUAGAAGAAGCACCGGCUAACUACGUG
rnacentral:rRNA from 1 species